CAUUCUAUUCGUUGUGUUGUAACAGAAACAG
rnacentral:tRNA from 4 species